rnacentral:pre_miRNA from 1 species
AUUAUACUCCCUCCGUCCGUAAUUACUUGUCAUCAAAAUGGAUGAAAAUGAAUGUAUCUAGAACUAAAAUACAUCUAGAUACAUCCAUUUCAAUGACAAGUAUUUUCGGACGGAGGGAGCAUAAU